rnacentral:sRNA from 1 species
CAGUGAAAUGUUGACUUCGUCAACGUGAAAUAUUCGGCUCCGCCGAAUGUGAAAUAUUGGCUUCGCCAAUGUGAAAUAUCCG